UGGGGAAUAUUGGGCAAUGGAGGAAACUCUGACCCAGCAACGCCGCGUGGAGGAAGAAGGUUUUCGGAUCGUAAACUCCUGUCCUUGGAGACGAGUAGAAGACGGUAUCCAAGGAGGAAGCCCCGGCUAACUACGUGCCAGCAGCCGCGGUAAUACGUAGGGGGCAAGCGUUGUCCGGAAUAAUUGGGCGUAAAGGGCGCGUAGGCGGCUCGGUAAGUCUGGAGUGAAAGUCCUGCUUUUAAGGUGGGAAUUGCUUUGGAUACUGUCGGGCUUGAGUGCAGGAGAGGUUAGUGGAAUUCCCAGUGUAGCGGUGAAAUGCGUAGAGAUUGGGAGGAACACCAGUGGCGAAGGCGACUAACUGGACUGUAACUGACGCUGAGGCGCGAAAGUGUGGGGAGCAAACAGGAUUAGAUACCCUGGUAGUCCACACUGUAAACGAUGAAUGCUAGGUGUAGGGGGUAUCGACCCCUUCUGUGCCGCAGUCAACACAAUAAGCAUUCCGCCUGGGGAGUACGGCCGCAAGGUUGAAACUCAAAGGAAUUGACGGGGGCCCGCACAAGCAGCGGAGCAUGUGGUUUAAUUCGACGCAACGCGAAGAACCUUACCAGGUCUUGACAUCCACUUAAACUUACAGAGAUGUAAGGUGUGCUUGCACAAAGUGAGGCAGGUGGUGCAUGGUUGUCGUCAGCUCGUGUCGUGAGAUGUUGGGUUAAGUCCCGCAACGAGCGCAACCCUUAUCUUCAGUUACUAACGCGUGAAGGUGAGGACUCUGAAGAGACUGCCGGGGACAACUCGGAGGAAGGUGGGGACGACGUCAAAUCAUCAUGCCCCUUAUGACCUGGGCUACACACGUGCUACAAUGGCCACGACAGAGAGAAGCGAAAUCGUAAGGUAGAGCGGAACUCAAAAAAGUGGUCCCAGUUCGGAUUGUGGGCUGCAACCCGCCCACAUGAAGUCGGAGUUGCUAGUAAUCGCGGAUCAGCAUGCCGCGGUGAAUACGUUCCC
rnacentral:rRNA from 1 species